rnacentral:rRNA from 1 species
ACGGUACCGUAAGAAUAAGCACCGGCUAACUUCGUGCCAGCAGCCGCGGUAAUACGAAGGGUGCAAGCGUUAAUCGGAAUUACUGGGCGUAAAGCGUGCGUAGGUGGUUGUUUAAGUCUGUCGUGAAAGCCCUGGGCUCAACCUGGGAAUGGCGAUGGAUACUGGGCGACUGGAGUGCGGUAGAGGAUGGCGGAAUUCCCGGUGUAGCGGUGAAAUGCGUAGAGAUCGGGAGGAACAUCCGUGGCGAAGGCGGCCAUCUGGACCAGCACUGACACUGAGGCACGAAAGCGUGGGGAGCAAACAGGAUUAGAUACCCUGGUAGUCCACGCCCUAAACGAUGCGAACUGGAUGUUGGUCUCAACUUGGAGAUCAGUGUCGAAGCUAACGCGUUAAGUUCGCCGCCUGGGGAGUACGGUCGCAAGACUGAAACUCAAAGGAAUUGACGGGGGCCCGCACAAGCGGUGGAGUAUGUGGUUUAAUUCGAUGCAACGCGAAGAACCUUACCUGGCCUUGACAUGUCCGGAAUCCUGCAGAGAUGCGGGAGUGCCUUC